CGACGGGCCCGCUCGGCCUAGUCCCCUCGGCGGCUCCAGGGCUCGCUCCUCGCGCUUCUCCACUCUGUCUCCCCGCCCUCGGGGUCCUCGCGCAUUCUGCGCAGUUAUUUCUCGGAAAGUGAAACCAUGCGUUGAAAGUUGUUUCCCGCGAAUAAAGAUGUGGCCAACCAAAGAGGCAGCGUGACUGGCUCCACUGGUGCUCUAGGCCCAAGCACUUUCCACCAAAGCAAUCGUGGCGGAGGCGAGGGAGGGGGUACCCCGGGUGGAGUACCCCUUUCUUCCAACAAAUGGAAAGAUGCCACGAAGAAGGGCUGUUGAUUUGUGGGGGAUUUUGAAGAGAGGAGGAAUAGGAGGGGGGGUUAAGGGGGCUGCCUCUGGCAUAUGCACACACUCACACAUUCUCUCACACCCCUCACACACACACAUACCGUGUUCUCCAUCCCCCCAGGUCCAGCCUUCAGUGCAGUCCCGUCCAGCAGGGCUGCCCUGAAGCUCUGGCUGCAGCCCUCCCGUCCAGCGGGCGGGCGGCUUCAUCCCUCCUCUCUCUCCCAAAGCCCAACUGCUGUCACUGCAUGCUCUGCCAAGGAGGAGGGAACUGCAGUGACAGCAGGAGUAAGAGUGGGAGGCAGGACGGAGCCGGGACACAGGUAUGGAGAGGGGGUGUAGCGAGCCUACAGAGGGCAGACGAUCAGGGUGCUGGCGGUGAGAGUCCAGGGAGAGGAGCGGAAACAGAAGAGGAGCAGAAGACAGGGGCACUUGUGGGUUGCAGAGCCCCUCAGCCAUGUUGGGAGCCAAGCCACACUGGCUACCAGGUCCCCUACACAGUCCCGGGCUUCCCUUGGCUCUGGUGCUUCUGGCCCUGGGGGCCGGGUGGGCCCAGGAGGGGUCAGAGCCCGUCCUGCUGGAGGGGGAGUGCCUUGUGGUCUGUGAGCCUGGGCGAGCUGCCGCAGGGGGGCCCGGAGGAGCAGCCCUGGGAGAGGCGCCCCCUGGGCGAGUGGCAUUUGCUGCAGUCCGAAGCCACCACCAUGAGCCAGCAGGGGAAACCGGCAAUGGCACCAGUGGGGCCAUCUACUUCGACCAGGUCCUGGUGAAUGAGGGCGGUGGCUUUGACCGGGCCUCCGGCUCCUUCGUAGCCCCUGUCCGGGGUGUCUACAGCUUCCGGUUCCAUGUGGUGAAAGUGUACAACCGCCAAACUGUCCAGGUGAGCCUGAUGCUGAACACGUGGCCUGUCAUCUCAGCCUUUGCCAAUGACCCUGAUGUGACCCGGGAGGCAGCCACCAGCUCUGUGCUACUGCCCUUGGACCCCGGGGACCGAGUGUCUCUGCGCCUGCGUCGGGGAAAUCUACUGGGUGGCUGGAAAUACUCAAGUUUCUCUGGCUUCCUCAUCUUCCCUCUCUGAGGACCCAAGCCUUUCAAGCACAAGAAUCCAGCCCCUGACGACUUUCUUCUGCCCUCCUUGCCCCAGAAACAGCAGAGGCAGGAGAGAGACCCCCCUCUGGCUGCCCAUAUCCCACCUCCUUGCAUGGGACCCUGUGCCAAACACCCAAGUUUAAGAAAAGAGUAGAGCUGUGGCAUCUCCAGACCUGGUCUUUCCACCCACCCACCACCAGUUCCCCUCCCAGCCACCUGCUGCAUCUGUUCCUGCCUGCAGCCCUAGAAUCAGGGCAAGGUUUGGCAAGAAGGAAGAUCUGCACUACUUUGCAGCCUCUGCUCCUCCUGUUCCCCCACCCCAGCUUCCUGCUCAAUGCUGUUCAGGAACAGGUGGCACAGGUGAGCCUCACAGGCCCCCACAGGAGCCCAGAUGGACAAGCCUCAGCAUACCCUGCAGGCUUCUUCCUGUGAGGAAUGCCAGCAUCACAGAUCUCAGCCAGCACCGUCAGAAGCUGAACCAGCACCGUAUGGGCUAGGGUGGAAAGCUCAGCCACAGGCAGAAGUGUGGGGAGGGCCUGGAGUCUGUAGCUGGUGAGGAAGGAAGGAGGGUGUAUUGUCUAGUCUGAACAUGGUACACAUUCUGCAUGUAUAGCAGAGCAGCCAGCAGACAGCAAUCCUGGCUGUCCUUCUAUGCCAGAUCCCAGAUAGACUCUGGCCCUUACCUCCCCACCUGAGACUAGGGUGAGUGUGUUUGCUCUGGCUGAGAGCAGAGCUGAGAGCAGGUAUACAGAGCUGGAGGUGGACCAUGGAAAACAUCGAUAACCAUACAUCCUCUUGUUUGGCCACCUCCUGAAACUGCUCCACCUUUGAAGUUUGAACGUCGGUCCCUCCACAUUCUGACUGCUGCCUCCCUCCUCCCAGCUCUCUCACUGAGUUAUCUUCACUGUACCUGUUCCAGCCUAUCUACACCAUCUCUCUUUCUCCUGAUCUGUGCUGUCUUAUUCUCCUCCUUAGGCCUCCUAUUACCUGGGAUUCCAUGAUUCAUUCCUUCAGACCCUCUCCUGCCAGUAUGCUAAACCCUCCCUCUCUCUUUCUUAUCCUGCUGUCCCAUUGGCCCAGCCUGGAUGAAUCUAUCAAUAAAACAACUAGAGAAUGGUGGUCAGUGAGACACUAUAGGAUCACUAAAGAGAAGAUGCCUCUGGAGUUUGGAUCGGGUGUUACAGGUACAAGUAGCUUGCCACCUCAUGACCCAAGACGGCUCCCUGAGCUCCAGCCAUUACAUCAGCCUAACAGGAAGGAGGAAGGAAGAAACAGCACAUCUCUUUCCUUGAAAGAAGCUUUCUGAAAGGUGCACCAAUAUGUCUGAUUGUGUCUCAGUAGAAUUUAGUCGCCUGGGCUCACCAAGCCAGGGAGAGAGGCUAGGAGCUAUAGGGUUUAUUCCAGGCAGCCAUGUCCAGCUAGAAGUUGGGAGUUUUAUAAUAAAGAAGAAGGGGAGAUUAGCUAUCGGGGAAGACAACUGGAAGUUGUUUUUUGUUGUCGUUUUUUGAGACAGAGUCACGCUCCUUCGACCAGGCCGGAGUGCAGUGGCGCAAUUUCAGCUCACUGCAACCUCCGCCUCCCGGGUUCAAGCAAUUCUCAUGCCUCAGCCUCCCGAGUAGCUGGGAUUACAGUUGUGCGCCACCAGGCCCAGCUAAUUUUUUGUAUUUUCAGUAAAGAUGGGGUUUCGCCAUGUUGUCCAGGCUAAUCUCAAACUCCUGGCCUCACGUGAUCCAAUUACAGGUGUGAGCUACCACAUCUGGCCACAAAGUACUACCAACUUGGUGGCUUAAAGCAACUAUUUAUUAUCUCACAGUCUCUGUGGGUCAGAAGUCCAACAAAACGUGACUGGCUUCUCUGCUCAGGGUUUCACAAGGUCAAAAGCAAAGUAUAAGCAGGGCGGCCUUCCUUACUGGAGGGGAGGAAUUCACUUCUAAACUCAUUUAAAGUUCAGUUCCUUAUGGUUGUAGGACUUAGGUCCUGGCCCCCUCCAUUCUCAAGCCGACAAUGGCAAGCCAAGUGCUUCUCACGCUUUGAAUCUCUCAGGCCUACCUUUCUACCAUCUCUCUCUGACUUCAGUGGAGAAAGUUCUCUGAGUUAAAGGACUCAUGUGAUUAGAUUGGGCCCACCCAGAUAAGCCAGGAUAAUCUCCCUAUUUUAAGGUCCACAACCUGAAUUGCAUAUUUGAAGUUUGUUUUGCCAUGUAACAUAACAUAUUCAUAGGUUCCAGGGAUUAAGACAUAAGACUAAGACAUAGACAUAGACAUCUUUAGGGACAUCUGCAUAUCAGAGUCACUAAACUUAAAGAUGGCAUCAUGUAGAGAAAAGGCAUCUAGCUACAAUACCACUGCAUGGAAAAUGUAUGGGCUUGAAAAUUUCCCAUGAUGUGUACAAGAUAAAUAUCAGUUCAGAUUUUAAUCAUUUUAGAAGGUGAACCAAUUCCCAGGUCCCAACCAAAAAUUCUUUAAUUAAUAAUCCAAAACUUGAUCUACAUUGAGAUAUAUUUUAAUUUUAGAUAUCUAAAUUCAAAAAUUGGCCUGAGCUGAAAUAAUAUCUCUCAGGUCUACAGCCCAUUUUUAUAGUGGAUUUAAGUAUAGGUGUCAUAAACUUUAUAAUCCUUAUAAUGGUGUGUGUCCUUUAUCAAAAUGAAGCUUUUAGAGAAACUGAUGUAUUCGUGAUUCAAUUGAAAUAUUUAGGAGGAUUUGAUUGUUUUUAAUCAAUGUUUAAAUAAUUUUACUUGUUAAAUGUAGAGAUUUUGAUUUGCUGGUUAUAGAAAUUGUGUUCAAAUAUUUAGACCAUUUUUCCUUCAGUAGGUUUGUGAAUAGAUUAAACAAUAAA